GCUUAUAUAGUUUAAAAUCGAAC
rnacentral:tRNA from 1 species